rnacentral:tRNA from 1 species
GGCGGUGAGCAGCAGGCGCAGCUCGUUGGGCUCAUAACCGGAGGUCGCAGGUUCGAAUCCUGCCCCCCGCUACCA